GGGUCGUUAGCUCAGUUGGUAGAGCAGUGACUUUUAAUCAAUUGGUCGCAGGUUCGAAUCCUGCCCGACCCACCC
rnacentral:tRNA from 1 species